GUACUCGCUUCGGCGGUACAUAUACUAAAAUUGGAACGAUAGAGAGAAGAUUAGCAUGGCCCCUGCGCAAGGAUGACACCAAAAUCGUGAAAACUGAAAAAGCUUCCU
rnacentral:snRNA from 1 species